GUUCUCUCAAGAAGUAAUAUACUCCAUAGUUAUUAUGUUCUUUAGCAUGUUAUUUUGCUUCAAUUUUUAUCUUUCAAGUGAUCUAGGUGAGAAGCAAUGAAGUGAAGCAGAGGCCAAUAGAUCAUCCUAUGAAAAUGGUCUGAUUUUCAAGUUGGCAAAAAGAGAAUGAGAGAAGUAAAAGAAUGGAAGAGUAGAAGAAUAGAGAAAGAGGAGAAGAACAAUUUGACAGAUAAUGAGGAAGCAAAAAUAAGUUUUCAAUGGUGAAAACUACAUGAAGAUAUGAGCCUAAUAUUACGAAGAAGGAUAAUUGGAUAACCUUGGAUCAAUUAAAGUUGCUGGAGUUGGUGAGGGGCCGGAUUGGAACGGUUGGCGUUCACGUGUGGAAGAUCAGCGAUGUAGGAUGUACUACAACUUAUGGCCUCCAUUAAAUUAUUCCAAUCAUGGGAAAAAAACCUAGGAAAUGAGUAGUAGUAUACCUACGAUAAAUUAAUUAAUCUACGAGCAAAUGAUUUAGAAAUUUUAUUAUUUUUGGUAGAUGUAUAAGUAGAAGUUAUAGAUCUUUGAGCAAACAGUGUGGAUCUAAC